GCCCCUCCUAACAGCUAGCCAACACCAAAAUGCAACAACCAACAUUAAUAACCCCACAAACACAAGCAAGCAAACAACAAAUCAUUUUUCCCCCCAAGUAUGGGUGACAGAACAGGGACCUAG
rnacentral:rRNA from 1 species